rnacentral:tRNA from 1 species
GCCGUGGCCUACUGGUUAGCGUUUUGGACUUGUAACCGGAGGGUUGCUGGUUCAAACCCUGACCAGUAGGCA